rnacentral:rRNA from 1 species
UGGGGAAUAUUGCACAAUGGGGGAAACCCUGAUGCAGCGACGCCGCGUGAACGAAGAAGGUAUUCGUAUCGUAAAGUUCUGUCCUAUGGGAAGAUAAUGACAGUACCAUAGAAGAAAGCUCCGGCUAAAUACGUGCCAGCAGCCGCGGUAAUACGUAUGGAGCGAGCGUUGUCCGGAAUUAUUGGGCGUAAAGGGUACGCAGGCGGUUUAAUAAGUCGAAUGUUAAAGAUCGGGGCUCAACCCCGUAAAGCAGUGGAAACUGAUAAACUUGAGUAGUGGAGAGGAAAGUGGAAUUCCUAGUGUAGUGGUGAAAUACGUAGAUAUUAGGGGGAAUACCAGUAGCGAAGGCGACUUUCUGGACACAAACUGACGCUGAGGUACGAAAGCGUGGGGAGCAAACAGG